CGCAGCCGCGGUAAUUCCAGCUCCAAUAGCGUAUAUUAAAGUUGUUGCAGUUAAAAAGCUCGUAGUUGAAUUUCGGGAUCAAAGAAUCGGUCAUGCCUUGGUAUGUACUGGUUUUAUUGGUUCUCACCUUCUAAAGAACCAUGAUGUCAUUCAUUUGAUGUUAUGGGGAAUUAGGACUGUUACCUUGAAAAAUUAGAGUGUUUAAAGCAAGCUUACGCUUGAAUACAUUAGCAUGGAAUAAUGAAAUAGGACAUCAGAUUCUAUUUUGUUGGUUUCUAGGAUCGAUGUAAUGAUUAAUAGGGAUAGUUGGGGGCAUUAGUAUUCAAUUGUCAGAGGUGAAAUUCUUGGAUUUAUUGAAGACUAACUACUGCGAAAGCAUUUGCCAAGGAUGUUUUCAUUAAUCAAGAACGAAAGUUAGGGGAUCGAAGACGAUCAGAUACCGUCGUAGUCUUAACCAUAAACUAUGCCGACUAGGGAUCGGAUGAUGUUAAUUUUAAUGACUCAUUCC
rnacentral:misc_RNA from 1 species